rnacentral:rRNA from 1 species
ACCUGCGAAGGAUCAUUA